rnacentral:tRNA from 1 species
GCCGAGGUAGCUCAGUCGGCAGAGCACAUCCAUGGUAAGGAUGGGGUCGUGGGUUCAAAUCCCACUCUCGGCU